GGAUGAGAGAGUAAUCUAGCUGCAACAUCUGUCAUCCAUGGAUCACCAGGGUUGAUUCUGCUAAUCUAGCUGACUAUGUGAGUGUCUCCUUCCUCCCUCACCACUCCAUGUUUGUCCCUUCUUAUACUGCAUGCUCAGUCAAAGCAUAUAAUGGAAAUAGAAGAGCAUGUCAGAUGCUAAAAGCUUUUGCAAUGUGAUGAUAAUUACGAACUUGGGAGCAGGAAAACCCUGGAGAUAGAAAUGGGGGAGGUGAACAGGAAUCCCCUGACACACACACACCUGUAGUUACCCAGGAUAGAAGUCCUUGUUUUCCAAGGCUUUCUCAUG
rnacentral:sRNA from 1 species